AUCGCUUCUCGGCCUUUUGGCUAAGAUCAAGUGUAGUAUAAUAUUGACUGUUGGUUUUUCAUAGAAGGCUUUAUCAGGUUGAAAUAAAGACCAUUUAUUCCAAUUUUCUAUAGGGCUUUUAUCAUGAAU
rnacentral:snRNA from 1 species